ACUCAAGUAAGAACAACUAACAUGCAUAACCUUAAUUCUUUCUUAUCUUCCGAAAAGAAACAUAAAAAAGGCCCGAAUUUAUUAUAAGGCCAAAAUUUCAUUAUAUAAUAAAAUGGCCAAUAUAUAUCCUAUAAAGGACGAGGGAUCAACAAGAAAUUGUAUUCUUGUUUUUUUGGGAACGGAUCAUAAGUACAGAAUAACUUAUUGGUAGCCGGACUUUAUGGAGACAACCAAUCAAAUCAUUUUCACUGAUCCUAAAAAUAUUGAUAAAAUCGGUAGUUCGGACCGAAACUUAAAAAAAAGGAAGAAUUAGGCUAAUCUAGCUGCAGGAAGAAAGAAAGAGAAAAGAAGCAAAACAAUAAUACAAUAAUUUGAAAUCGUAUUGUAAUUGUUCAAUUAAAAUCAAAGAUUCUAACGGAUUCGUUUUUGUAAAUCGGAGCAGUCGUCAUGUGAUAGGUGGAUUACAGAUAGAAGAGAAGCCCAAUUACUUUGCUCAGUCACUUCAUCAAUCCUUAGAUCGAGAUCAACUCGAGUUCCCUAGAUGGAUUGAUGAAUGAUCAUGUUUACUGCCUACCCAUGCGAGUAGCAUGCAUUGCCAACAGAUAAGUUGUGAACACAGUAGAUUCGUCUCCAUCCGACAUGCCUUGCUAUGGAUUGCUGUCAAGUAGAGUUUCUUUUAAUAAACACCAACUAGAGCGGAUUUAAUACGAUGUAAAUCAUUUUGUUCAUACCUUUUAUAGGCCCUCAUGUCAAACUGCAUAGUGAACAUAACAAUCACAGCAAUAGGAACUGUGGAACUGUAUCAUAAGGACCUCUUCACUGCCUCAGGUGUCCAUAAGGUUUCCCAUGAGAUUAAAUUCCCAAAGUUUCUCCGUCGAGGUGACUUCUGUCUAUGCUAUUUCUAAUUAGUUGAUUGUUUUUUUUGUUAAAAUUGAUUUACCUGACCAGGAUUUUUAAAUGGUAUCUUCUUAUUAUUAUGAAUUAUGCAUAUACAUUAUAUCAAAUAGUAACACAAUACAAA
rnacentral:lncRNA from 1 species